rnacentral:lncRNA from 1 species
UCAUUUUGGGGUUCAUCUUUGGGGUUCAUUCGUGAUGAUUGUUAUCAUUUGGGGUUCACUUUGGUUACUUGUUAUUCACUUGGGGUUCAUCAUUGGGGUUCAUUUAUGACGGUUGUCAUUCAUUUUGGGGUUCAUUCUGAUAACCUUUUUCUUUGGUGUUCGCUGGUUAGCGUUUGUUAUUGUUGGGAGUCGAAUGUAAGUCUAUGUAUUGGCAUUUUGUUUCCUUUUGU